rnacentral:lncRNA from 1 species
UCUUAAACACCUUCCAUUAAUGGCUUCUCCAACACUAACACCUUAUCUCCCUCUCUCCCCCUCAUCAAGAAUACUGUUACACCAGUCACCCCCCUUUUCAGCCCUUCAUGACUCCCUCCACCUCACUUCUUCAAAAUCUACACCUUUAUCUUCUACAAUACAAGGCCUCACAAGAGCUGCAAACCAAUUCAAUCAGUAAAAGUUUGUUCGCAGUUGAGGUAUCCCAUCAUUUCUCCAGAUGACCAUUGGGGCACCUGGACUGCCCUCUUUGCUACAGGGGCUUUUGGUAUCUGGUAAUUAACUAACUUGCUUCUGUGUCACAUAUUUCAUGUCUGUUUAUCACAGUUGUUGAUGGCGUGGUCACGUGGGCCCUAAACUAAGGACCCACCUUAGAGAAGAUUGUCACGGUUGUGUGAGUUAGACUAAUGUUGUUCUUGGAUUGGUAAAAAUGAACAUUAAUGGUGGGUUUUGAUUGUUUUUGAAGGUCUGAGAGGACAAAAAUUGGGAGUAUGCUGAGUGCGGCCUUGGUGAGCAUAUUGGUUGGACUUGCAGCUAGUAAUGUAGGAAUCAUUCCUUAUGAAGCAAGAGCAUAUUCAGUUGUGUUGGAGUAUCUGCUACCCCUAACUAUUCCUCUGCUGUUGUUCAGAGCUGACUUGCGGAAUGUGUUUAGAUCAACUGGGACUUUGCUCUUAGCUUUCUUGCUUGGUUCAGGUUUGUUUUUCCUCUUAACUAUGUGUAAUUGUAUUCAAAUUUCUCAAUCAAGCGUCAUUUCCUGUAUAUAUCAUGUAAAUUUAUCUCCUAAGGUACCUAAAUAGUUUUGCUUAUACACAGAAAGAAUAGGAUUUUCGUAUUGAGAUUUGAAGUUUAGAAUGUUAAGGAUUAGGUGUGGUUGUUACUGGAGGCAACAUCAUGAAUCCAGGGUCAAAAUGUAUGAGAUUUAUGUGAAGAAUGAUCAGUCUUAGUUUCAUCAAAUCAAAGAGUCUAAUACGUAUCAUCUUGGAUGUAAUCAAGGUUAGCUGAUGGAAGCAGUAGGAUCCUAGUGUUUGACUGAAGGUGCCCAUGUGUUCAAACAUCAUAACUGAGAAGAAGAUUGUGAGAGAGUAAUUAUUGUCAGUUCAUGUAAGUUCCUCCAUGUCCAUGUGAUUUUUUCUUUUAAUCUAAAAUCAAUUCGCUUUUAAUUUUAUGGUAGAGUCCGUGUGUGAAUCAUUGUAUGAUGACUGGCAUCUUGUAAGGAGCUAGCGCUGCAUAUCUCAACUCUACAGUCUGUCGUGGCAUGUGAUGUUUUACCAGCAUCCGCUGCUUUAUAGCCCACGGCAUGCAACUGAACCAAAACUGAAUGGUCUUUGCUGAACAAGACAUCGAUUUUGUUUCAAUUAUGAAAUUCUUCCCGUUGGCUGAAUGUCUUCAGCUUGCUGUCGAGCCAUAUGUUGUCCUAGCAUGUAUCAAGGUGCUAAGUAACUUCUGCUAAUUACAGAUUUAUCAACUGGUGAAAAUGUAAUUUGUGUUCAAAUAAUUCCUUCCGUGUGGUCCUGUGAAAUUUACCGCUGUCUCAUAAGUGCCGUUACUCCCAAUGCUCUGCUGUCUUCAGACUCUCUGUACAUUGCUUAUGUGGAUAUUGAAUGGAAACGUGUGAAUGUAACUUUGGCUAUUAAGCUCUAUAUAUUUUCAUUUUCUUUCUGUCUUUUUAUGCUCUAAUUUCCUUUGAUUUUUGGUAACUUCAUUCUUCCAUUUUACAGUUGCAACUGUGAUUGGAACUUUAGUUGCCUUUCUGAUGGUGCCUAUGCGAUCACUUGGCCAAGAUAAUUGGAAAAUAGCUUCUGCUCUCAUGGGGAGUUAUAUUGGUGGAUGUAAGUUGUUGCAUCUUCAUAAUUGGCCUGCUGAUCAUACUGCUGUGCUGCCUGCUUAUUUUGAUUGUACAUUGUUUCCUUUGUCAUUGUAGCUGUUAAUUAUGUUGCGGUUACAGAGGCACUUGCUGCUUCUCCAUCAGUUGUGGCUGCAGGAGUUGCCGCGGACAAUGUAAUCUGUGCUAUAUACUUCAUGGUAUUAUUUGGAUUAGCCUCUAAAAUACCUCCUGAGGUUUCAACCUCAACUAAAGGUAUGUAGUAACUUCUCACCUAAUUUCUUGGAACAGUCUUUAACUGUUUAUUAAGGAAACAAAAUGGCACAACCAAAUGGACAUGUUUUAUUGAUGGUUAAAAGAGUUCCUAAUCAUACCAGAACCUGACACUUUGGCAGGUGCUGAAGUGGAUUUGUCAUCCAAUUCAGAAGGCAAAGUCCCUGUGCUACAGACUGCUGCUGCACUUUCUAUCUCCUUUAUGAUAUGUAAGAUUGGCACGUAUCUCACGCAACUUUGCAAGAUUCAAGGAGGUACUCUGCCAGCAGUAACAGCUAUUGUUGUCUUUUUAGCAACAUUAUUUCCAGCACAAUUUGGUUAUCUUGCUCCUGCUGGCGAUACUCUUGCUAUGGUUCUGAUGCAGGUAAAAAACGUUGUAUCUAGUUUUGUUUAUUGGUGCCUUAUAAGUGUCACUUUCAAGAGCUUGCCCCUUAAUAUCUUUGUUGUUUCUGUACUUAAGCUGCUUUUUUUGUUGAUUCCAGGCUCCUAAUAAUUACCCCUUAUAGAUUGAUCAAGGUGUUAUCUUUUUCUUGGAUAUUUUCUCGUAGAUGAUUUUUUAAAUGAUUUGUAUGCACAUAGGAUAAAGCAUGCUCAUAAAGUGAAAGAAAGAAAGUCAUAGCUCUAUAGGAGUUUUGAGGCUAUGAAGGGCAAGGGUAGAAAGAAAUACAUUGCCUCUUGGUUUCAUUUUGGACAUAAAAAAAUAUGGCAUGCGUGUGUAAAGUUGCAAAUUGUUUAAGGAUAACCUUUAAGUCAAUGACUCUAAACUGGUUAUUAAUAUUGUUGAAGAAACACCACUCAAUUUUCUUAUCUGAAAUUGCUGUCUGUUGUCGAUAGCAUUGACCUCUUGUUCUUUUAUCUCAAAAAUGUGCCGCCCUUGAGUUUCUGAAUGCUUAAUAAUCCCCACUUACCUGUAUCUGAAAAUUUGAACUUGACAUUACUGUUGAAGGAUUCCAAUUUCCAGCGAUAAGCACAGGAUAUCUCACUUUUGUACAUUGGCUGCUUUUUCCAACAGGUAUUUUUUGCUGUAGUUGGUGCUGGUGGGAGCAUAUGGAAUGUCAUCAACACAGCACCAAGUAUAUUCUUAUUUGCUCUAGUUCAAGUAACUGUUCAUCUUGCUGUGAUUCUUGGAUUUGGAAAGCUGUUGCGCUUUGACUUAAAGCUAUUACUUCUAGCAUCGAAUGCCAACAUCGGAGGCCCUACGACAGCAUGUGGAAUGGCCACAGCCAAAGGAUGGGGUUCUCUGGUAGUUCCUGGAAUUCUUGCAGGCAUUUUUGACAGAUAGAAUGCAGGAUCUUGUUGUUGAAGUAACUGGAAAAAAAGAGAUAUAAACAGAGAAGGAUGCAGAUAAGAAGAUUUCAAGGAAAAAUAUAUCAGUCAUGCAUUUCCAUGCUCUGAUACCAUGAUACGAAUUGAGUUUUACUCUUCGAAGUUAUUCACAUUCUUUGUAUAUUGAAUUCAUGAUAAUAAUCCAUCAAUUACAUCUGCCUUUUAUAAAGCAGUAGGCAGUAAAAAGCUAUUAUAGAAAGUAAAGCUAUUAAUGGAAAGGCUCCUAUAAUUCCGGCUAUAAUUUCGGUCUGUUACAAACAGAUAUAAAUAUAUUAUGUAUAGCUAAUAGUAAAAUAAAACUAAUAUAAUAUUUAACAACUUUGACCUUUAUAUUAUAACCUUCAAACCAACUAGGAUUCUAAUUAACUAACCUAACUAGUAGAUUACACAUUUCUAGGAUAGAAAAUACAAGUAGUAUAUAUAUGCAAACUAGAAAUAUCUUUUCCUCCUAAUCAUCUCCUCUCAUUGUUAGCUAAACUGCUAGCUCACUUUCUAUUUUAUUAUUAUUUUUUUUAAUCCUAGCCAUGGGUGCUUACUGCUCUAUUUCUAUGUUAUCUACUAGUCAAGGGGCCGAGUAGCGACGGUGGAGUGGCAACAUGAUUAAAGAAUCCUUGAUUUGAAUGGUCUAAUUCAAAAGGUUGCUAGACUAAAACAUAAAACUUUUUUAAAAGUAUAGGGUGGCAUGGCCCAAAGGCUCUUCCAGAGAGCUCUGCUUUGGCUCGUCUAAAUAAUAAUUUUAAGAUGAAUUUAUGAUCAAUGGCUACGAUAUAUCUAGCUAGCUUGAGUGCUUCACACAAAAUUUCCCAUAAAAAAUGAUAACCACUUUUCUUCUAUUGUUUGAAUAAAACUCAAAUAAAGGUUUACGAGGAUUAGAUUUAAGGGUAAAUUUAAUUGUUAAUUAAUAGGGUAAUCAAUAUUACCCCCAUUUCCAGAAAAAAAUUCUAAUCGUUUAAUUAUAUAUCAUCCACAGUGAGACAAUAUUUGAAUCUUUUAAAUUCUUUAGAGACUUAUGGCAUGGAAGUAAUCUUUUUAAUUCAUUAGAGACUUCUGGCAUGAAAGCAAUGUUCUAGUUUUUUUUUUUUUAGGAAAAAAAACUUUAUUUUUUUAUUGUUUUGAAAUGUUUUGUACAUUAGUUGGAUAUUUUUUUUAUUUUUUUCUUUCUUGACUUGAUUUUGUGUAGAAAAUAAAAGUAUUUAUUAUGACUUAUCUUGACCAUAUUACUCGGUUAUUUAUUUACCAAAGAAUCCUCUCAACUUAGAAAAUUAAAAUAUUAAGUGCAGAUUUCAUAAUUUUAAUCUAAUCUUCGGCGUAUCCCUUAAAGUAAAGAUUUAAAAAUUGGUCAAACCCAUCCUUGCUUGGUAUUAAUUUGCAUGAUAGGAAGGAUUCGUGAUUAAUAAAACUUUUAUAUCAUAUUAAAUAAUUAUUUGAAUAAAAAAAUUAAAUUAUUAAGAAGGUUUUUGAAAAUGAUUUUAUAUUAUAUAUUAAUAAUUCGGAAUCGAAUUAUAUGAUAUUGAAAAGAUGGAAUACUUGUACAGGACAGGCUUGCAAUCAUCAAUGAAAAGGUCUACCUUUCAGCUCUUUAUAAAGGUAUUCAAUAACACCAACUCUAAAAAGAUGAUAAAGGACGUCACUAACGAGAUAAUGUUCGUCCCCUUGGGUGGAUUGAUGGCCAACUUACUAUUCAAGAGCUUGCCUCAAACUAAAAAAAAAAAAAAACUUUCGUUCAUAGAAGACGCGCUCGCGCUGCUCACCUUGUGUGUUGGCUCUGUCGAAACUGGAGGAGCCACUGCUGCAGCAUGCUACCCCCGGCAAAGGAAAGGCCUGCCGCGAGGGGGGCGGCCGAUGCUAGACGGUAUAUAUAUGCUCUCGUGCUGCUCACCUCGGGCGUUGGCUCUGUCGAAACUGGCGGAGCCAGCGCUGCGGCAUGCUACGUACCCCCGGCAAAGGAAAGGCCCGCCGUGAGGGGGUUGGCCGAUGCUAGUAUAUUUAAAAAUAAUAUAAAUAAUAUUUUAGAUUGAAACUUAAUUAAUAGUACUGUAAGAUUAAUGACAAAUACAGGUUAUUAUAAGUGAAACAAUACUCGUUAUUAUAUUAAUCUAAUAUGUAAAUUCUAUUGGAAAAGGAUAUAUAAUUAUAAUACCAACGAUUGUAAAUUUUCCUACCCAUGCUUACUUGAAACUACUAACAAAAGGGACCGCCAAAGAAAUGCUCUUGCUACGUACCCACUACAGCCAAUUAGCGAUGGCAAUGGCAUCAUGAUUUUUUUAUAUAUAAUUAUCUCGCACGAGUAAUGAAUAACUAUCGAUUUCGAAUUAAAUUAUCACUAUUGUGGCCAAUUAUUGAAUAUCUAGAAGGGUGUUCGACAAUUAUUGAUCUAGAAGGGUGUUCAUUUUUCACGAGCAGAUGGUUGGAUCGAAGAAGACGAGCUCUGAUUGACAACCAAUCGCAAGACAGUAUACAGCACACUUUAUAAAAGAUGUUUGUGACCCUCCACUGACUUGUGAUCCCUCGAUCGUGCAUUGUUGAUGGACAGCGUAAGCAGCCUUGGCCAUGGACAUUAACGACAAGUAAAAGAAAUGGGAAGGGAGGAGAGGAGAGGGGAGGAGGUUUUCAGCUGGUUAGGAAAAUAGAGAACAAGUUCUGACGAAUUUACUAAAAGACUUAAAGAGAGGAAAGUUCGUGAAGAUUUUCAAGGAUGGGUGGAUAAAUUAAAUUGCUAUUAAAAUAGGGGAUGAUCUAUCAAAUUUACUAUUGAUAUUAUGUUAAUGUUAUGAAAUAUAAUUAAUCAUCUAAUAAAUUUAGCUCUUACGUGGAUUUUUUUAAUUUUUUUUUUAAUGAUAUGAGAGGAUUUUGAGUUUUAUAGUUCCUAAACGUGCUUAAUUAUAUUUUUAUUUUCUUAAUCAAAACUUUAAAAAAAAAAACAGUUGAAAUCAAUUUGUAAAAAUGUCUUGAAAUAUUCCUCUAAAUGUAAAUGGCGAUAAUGUUCCAUCACAUGCAAUCUUGCUUGCAAUUGUUAUUAUUAUUAGUGGAAAGCUAUAUUUACUCGGUAUCCUCGUAUAAUUCCAAUAAAUACAAGUGAGGUUGGCUAACGACGUUGUUAAAUUCAUUUUUUAAGUGUUUUUUAAAUUAUUUUUUAUUGUAAAUCAAUUAAAUUGAUAUAUUUAGAUUUUUUUUAUGAUUUUAAUAUAUAUCCUUAUAUCUAAAAUAAAAAAAACUAAAAAAUAUCAUUUUAAUUAAAAGAUACUUUAACAAAAACACCAUGCAUGCAUAACUAAACACACUUAUAUUCUAACAAAAAUGUUCAUGUAGUAUUGUUUUACAUGAUAGAUAAUUAUUAAAACAAAUUAAAGGGCCUAGGGUUUCACUAUAGAACAAAACUUAUUAUAUUAUAGAUUGUAAUUUUUUUACCCUUCAUGUAGACCUCUAAGAAAUAACAAAAUUAAUGAAAUUUUUUUUUUUCACAUCGUUCAAUUUGUGUGUUUCAAAUUGAAUUGAUUAAAUUAUUCUUUUUAUAUUUUUAUUGUGUAAUGAAAUUUCUAAUUUACUCUUAGAAUAAAAAAUGAAUUACAUAGCUAAUAAAGGCCUUAUGGUCUUUUCAUUUUUUUAAAUGACUUAAAGAAUAAAAUACAUACUCUUUAAUUUGUAUUUAUUUUAUUUUUAGCACUCAUUAUUUUGAUUGCUAUUCAUAUUGAUUUUUAUGCUUUUUAAGUUUAUUUUUUCAAUUUCAUCCCUGUUUAUUUUAUUUCAUUUGUUUUUUGUUUCCAAAUGAGUCCUUAUUCUUUUAUAUAUUGUUGUUUUUUAUCCUCUUAUUAUUAUUAUUUUUAUUUUUCCACCCAACAUUUUAUUUUAUUUUUGCAUCCAAUUUUGGUCAUCAUUUUUUUAUUGUAAAUUUCAUUUUUUUUAUUUUUUAUUUUUUUUGUUUUUCAAUUUAUUUCCUAAUUAUUUUCUUUCAAUUAGUUUUCAUAUCAAAUUUGACCCCUCAUUGUUUUUAUUGCUAUUUGUUUGGCUUUUUAAUUUUUAUGUUUAGGAAUUUUAUUUCGUUAUUUUUUCAUGUUUGCCUGCUACGUGUUAAUCUUGGUCUCAUGACUUGAGUAAUUGGUUUUGAAUAUUAGCCCAGUUUAAAUUUGGUCUUCUUUUAGGUUUUUUUUUUUAUGAAUUGAUUUUUUUAUUAUUUUUAUUUUCAUUUUUUGAUAUUGGAUUCUUGGAAUUGAACUUCGUGAUUUGUCCUGUUUUUUUUUUUUAUGGGGUUAUCCUUAUCUCAUGUCUCGGGUAAUAGGUUUUGAUUUAACUUAUGUUGACUCAGAUUUUUCUCUCAAUAUUUUCUUUAAAAUUGAUUUUUUUAACUUUCAUACUUUGACAUUAAAUUAUUGAUCAUUGAGUUAUGUAGUUUUUUCACUUUUUUUUCUAUGAAGUUAUCUAGGGUUAAAAUUAGUCAAGUUAACCUGGAUAUACUUGAAUUUUUUUUAUUUAUGAUUUUUUAAAUUUAUUUAACUUUGAUUUUUUUUUUUAAUUUUAAUUUUUUUAUCUUAAUCUCAUUUCAUGUUUAGCGGGUUAUUUAAAUGUAUCUGGGUUGACUAAUGUGUUUUUUUUGUUUUUUUUUAAAUUGAUAUUUUUAAAUUUUAUUAUUUGAUAUUAAAUUAUUGAAUCUUGUCUUGUGUUUUCUGGUUUUUCCCACUUUUUUUUUUUUUGCUCUUAUCUCAAUAUUUUAUCCCAGAUUGCUUAUUAAUAAUAUUAUCUCGGGCUGAUUCAUAAUAUCAUCACAUGAAUAUUUCUUUUAUGUUGAAAUAAAUUUGACUUGGCCCUCAGCAUGACUUUUCUAGUGAGAAGCCAAAGAUGUGGUCUUUUUCCCACCACAAGUGACCUUGCAAUUAUUAAUGAGAAAGAUAGGGUCUUUGCAUGAUUCCAACCACUAUAAAACGCAGGCUCUCCAAGAGGUAUCAUCCAUGCAAUAAUAUAUAACUACAUACAGAUACAGAUACUUUAAUUGAUUGAGAGUGGAGAGAUCAUGGAGUGCAAGAAGGUUGGUUUGCUUCUCAUGGUGGCCUUGCUCGUAGUGGCCACUGUUCCUCAUUCCACGGUUGCUGCGAGGCAAGUUCCACUCUUAAACAUCAUGUUUGCUGAUGAAAUCAAUGAACGCUGUCUCCAUGAUGGCCAACGAUGCGAUAGAAAGGCUUGUUGUGCUAAUUUCGUUUGCGUACAAAAACAACAAGAUAAUGUCUGUGUACCAGAAAAAAAGGGUGAAGAAGAUGGGUGGUGAAGGUUUAAGAAACAUGGUGGGAUGCGCUGUUGUGUUUCUCGUGGUCUGUGCUUUCUUCUUCUUCUAGUUGUGUGUGCCUUUUUUCUUCUUUUUUUCCCUUCAAGUGCUGUGGCUUGUUAAGUGUGGGCUUUUUCAUGGCAUGUGCUUGUUAUCGCCGAUGUAUUAACUAGCUAUGUGUGAAAUAAGAAAUAAAAAAGCGUUUGAACUAUUUCAUUAGAUAUCGCCAUGCAUGGGGAGGUUCCUCUCUCGCGUUGGAUAUGGACAUAUUGUGCUGCAAAUGACUCGAGUCACGUUUUAAAUGUUUGAACUAAGCUCGUUUAAGUUGCUUAGCUUGAUAUUGAGCUUAUAAACGAAUUAGAUUUACACUUUAACAUACUUGCAAAAAUCUGCGAGAGCUUCUGCUAUUGAUCUGAUCAUCUGAUGAUAAUAACUUCUUCUCUUUUUUCUUUUCUUUUCUUUUUUAUAAUGAUUAAGUGUGAUAAUUUAAAGAUAGUUAUUUAGAAGAUUGUGACUUGAAUGGCCGAUAAGAAAUUAACUUGCUGGAAAAUAAAGUUAGGAACAAAAUAAAAAUCAAUCUCGUUAAAAAUAUUAUCCAUAAAAUAAUAUGGUCGUUUUCAGUACCAGAUUGUUAAGAAUUUUAAACAAAAUCCACCUGAAGCCAAAUUAUUCAUCUCCACAUAAGAGAACGGUAUCAAUAUUUUACUGUAAUAAUAAUAAUUAAAAGGAAAAAACAGAGAGAGAAGCAUAGUAAAAAGGGCACCACAACUUUAAAAACCCAAUUAAUAAUACAUGCGGAAGUUAAUAUAUAAGUCAACAAUUACAUGAAGAAAAAAUUAAUGGGCCAAAAAAAGUUAUAAUUAUAAAUAUGUAAUUUUAUUUUUUAAAUUUAAAUAAAUGGUGGUGGAUUUUCUAGAGCUUUACAAGCAUUUAAAUAAGCUAGAAAAAUCUAUCUCUACUAAGAAAUAAUCUAAAAACUCCUAUGAAAAUAACAAAAUUGACUCAAAUGAUAAUUUAUAGGCCUAAUUUCAAAAGAUUCAACGGCAGGGAAAAUUAUUUGUAAAAUUACUUAGAAAAUUUGAAGCUCGAUCUAAUUAUUAAACUUUUCAUUAUCUCAGUUUUAAAAUGUAUAUAUAAUUUAACAUGAUUAGAUUUACUCUUAGACCUAGACAUAUUUACUGAUACAUAACAAACAUGUAUUAAGCUAUUUACAUAGUUUUCUUGAGUCAAAUUCUCACCUCAUAGUAUACAAUUCUCACCUGAAUACUCAAAACAUUCGGUCUCUGUAAACUCGAGUGCAUCAACUACUCCCAUGUUGGUUUUCUUUGGGGGGUUUAGUUUUUAGUCUUAAUUAACUUCUUUCACCUAUUAUGUUAUGGGGAUAAUUGCACUUAGGGCAUCAAUUUUAUAUUUUUCCUCGAUUCGAGUAUAUGAAUUCUAAUUUUGUUUCAUUUUGAGCACACUGAUUUUUUUAAAAAAAUUUCAAUCUAAUGCUUCCAUUUACCUUUUAUCAAUUUUUCUGUGAUAUAUCAGUUGUCCUUCAAAAACUCUAUUGAUAUUCCGACUUUCAUUUUAUGUAAAUCAAAUCCAUGAAUUUCUUUUUUAUACACCAACAUUUUUUACUGCUCCAGUCAAGUAAUUUAGUAUAUAAAAAAAAAUUUCUCCACUUUCCGGUUGCACCAUCACCAGAAACCCAAUGGUCCAAUUUCAUUUCCCGCCAAAAUAUUGCUAUUACAGAAAUCUCACGAACCACCAACAACCGUACCAGACAAACAUUAUUAUUAGCAAACAACAGAAGCUAGAACCAAUGUUUUCUGUCCACGGUCACUAAAAGCAAAAGGCUGACCAGUUCACUAAUUCGAUCUGUGAGUGUUAGAUCAAGAUUAUAUCUUGAAGUACUGAUCAAUGGGGCUCCUGGACUAUUCUUUUCGCCACUGGAGCUUUCGGCAUCUGGCUUGCCAAUCCAAGCAAGGCAGGUUUAUGGUCUUUUCUAGCACGUACUUCCUUCAAUCUGAAUGUUCUGUGGAUCCAAUCUCUGUUGAUUAUGCUUUGUUGUCAAAAGUAUCGGAUGCUUCAGAUCUGGUCUGAAUUCUUGUUUUUUUUUCAGGUCAGAAGGGACCAAGAUUGGAAGUGCAUUGAAGGGUGCAUCAGUGAGUGCUUCACUUGGGCUAGCAGCUAGUAGUUUGGGGAUUAUUUCUUUUGAAUCUCCUGCUUAUUCUAUGCUAUUGGAGUUUCUGUUUCCAUUGACAAUUCCACUAUUGCUGUUUAGAGCUGAUUUGCGUCGCGUGUUUACGUCUACUGGGAUAUUUCUUCUGGCUUUCUUGAUAGGAACAGGUAAAAAUCAGAUUUUUUUUUAGUAUGAAAAUCAGCUAAAAAACUAUUGGGUUUGAUUCUGAAAUGGGAAUUUGUUUGCGGGUUUUCUAUGUUAUCUGAUUAGAAGAUGGGUUUUGAGGGGUUUGUUGAUGGUUUUGUUGUGUGACAGUUGAAAAAAUAGUUAGAACAAUAUUGGCCUGUAUGAUGGUACCGAUUCUGGAUAGCGUGGCUAUAGCAGCUGCAUUUCCAACCCAGUUCAAUCUCCUUGCACCAUCUGGUGAGGCUUUGGCUAUGAUUCUGACACAGGUGAGCUGAGAUUUACAGGAUUUCUAUUUAGUUAGUUCAUUUGCGUCACCCGUUGAUCAUUGGAUCACUCAACCUGAUAGGAUUAUUAAUCACAACAGAAAAACAAAAACAACUACAUAUAAAAAAAAGUUUCACUGUAAUAGAAACAGUGCGGUUUGAAGAACUUUCGAAAUAAUCUCAAGACUACAUCAACUAUAUUUUAUAAUCCUAAAAACAUACUGCGUCAAGUAAUCACAAAAGGUCCCUAACGGCUAAAAGAGCCCCUGUGGCCCAGCAUUUUGAUAUCUGUUCUUGUUCAGGUUGCCAUUCAUCUUGUUGUGAUCCUCGGAAAGCUAUUUUGAUUCGACCAAAAGCCGUUGCUGAUUGCUUCAAAUGCUAAUAUUGGAGGCCCGACAACCGCAUCUGGAAUGGCCAAUGCUAAAGGGUGGAGUACUUCUUUGGUUGCUCCUGCCAUUAUUGCUUACAUUUUUGGAAAUUUUUUGGAAUUUUUUAUUUUCUUUGUUUUGGGAGAAACAGCUUGCUGGUGUAUUCUUAUUGUUCUUGCGCAUUAUCAUUCCCCCUUGUAUCCUUCGCCAAGAGGUGUUGCUGUUAUUAAUCACAAUAAUGAGCAUCAUUAGACCUGUGUGAGAUUAAUUGUUACUGCAAAAUUCUACCAUGUUUACAUGAAUAAUUUAAUAAUAUUCUUGUAUAAUAUUUAAUCUCUUAAUAUAUCCUUUCGUCACUGUUUUUUUCUUUCUAAAAUGGUAUAAUUAAUUAUAUUUUUUUAUUAUGAAAAUCCUCUUAAGCUAUACGAGGAUUUAAAUUGGUAUAAUUUUCUUGUGGUUAAUUUCUUCCAUUUCUCUCUUUGGUAGUUUUGAUCAUUGGUACUCAGAUGUAAAUCUUGUGGUUAAAGUUGUACUGUAACUUCCAUCUUCACUUCCUCCUCCUGUCUUUGCCUCCUCUUGUCUCCCUCUGACCUCAGCAGCAACUCUUCAAUGGCUUCAAAACCUCCAUUUCUCCACUCACCGGCAGUCCCAUCACCGGAAACCCACCGGACACAUUCCAUUCCCCUCCACAAUAUUCUUACUGCCACCACCAACCCCAUCAGAUAAACAUUACUGUCAGCAAAGAACAAGAACAAGACAUCAUUUCCUUCUCCUCAAUUGAAUCCUCUAAAGACCCAAAUUUGGUUCGAUCAUCUGUUACUGUUUGAUCCAAUCUGAAUCUGAAUUUCCCUCUUAUUCCUCCUACUGGUCCAUGGGGUUACCUGGACUGCUCUCUUUGCCACUGGUGCUUUCGGUAUCUGGGAAUUCACCACCCCUUUUCUUGCUUUUUAAUUAUGAUAUUUUGGUGUUGGUCGCGAUCCUGCAAUCUGGGCCUUCGUUGAAUUCCGUAUGCAUGAAUCCGGGAUCCCACGUAUAGUUGUGAUAGCUUAGGCCCAUUGGAUGUUGCUGUUGAAAUUGGAAAGACACUUGAGAGUUGAGACCGCGUUACCAAACAAAUUUUUUUUAUUAUUAUUAAUUUUAAAUUAAUAUAUUUUUAAUAUUUUUAAUUUAUUUUAAUAUGUUUAUAUUAAAAAUAAUUUUUAAAAAAUAAAAAAAAAAUAUUAUUAACAUAUAACUUAACAUAAAAAAUUAUUUAAAAAAAGUCCAAGCCACGGGAAAAACAAACUCUAAAGCGCACCGGGUUUUGGAGACACUUUUCAUAGAUAAAGCAUCACCCUCAAUCAUAACCAAGUAACAAACACAAAGGACAAUACCUUUGUAUAUUCAUAGGUUGUCGUCAUGUGAGUCUCUUCGGUUUGGCCACGUGAGCAUCUCUGCAAAAAAACCCAAACAAACAGGUUAACCCUCCAAAUUAAGAUGUAUCACUUCACUGAGAAUCUCUCUCUUAAACACCUUCCAUUAAUGGCUUCUCCAACACUAACACCUUAUCUCCCUCUCUCCCCCUCAUCAAGAAUACUGUUACACCAGUCACCCCCCUUUUCAGCCCUUCAUGACUCCCUCCACCUCACUUCUUCAAAAUCUACACCUUUAUCUUCUACAAUAUGUACAAGGCCUCACAAGAGCUGCAAACCAAUUCAAUCAGUAAAAGUUUGUUCGCAGUUGAGGUAUCCCAUCAUUUCUCCAGAUGACCAUUGGGGCACCUGGACUGCCCUCUUUGCUACAGGGGCU